rnacentral:rRNA from 1 species
UACGAAGGGGGCUAGCGUUGCUCGGAAUCACUGGGCGUAAAGCGCACGUAGGCGGAUUGUUAAGUCAGGGGUGAAAUCCUGGAGCUCAACUCCAGAACUGCCUUUGAUACUGGCGAUCUCGAGUCCGGGAGAGGUGAGUGGAACUGCGAGUGUAGAGGUGAAAUUCGUAGAUAUUCGCAAGAACACCAGUGGCGAAGGCGGCUCACUGGCCCGGUACUGACGCUGAGGUGCGAAAGCGUGGGGGAGCA